rnacentral:rRNA from 1 species
AGAGUUUGAUCCUGGCUCAGGAUGAACGCUGGCGGCGUGCCUAACACAUGCAAGUCGAACGAAGCAUCCCUUCCGAUGAAUGGACCAGCUUGCUGGGAAAGGAAUCAAUUGGGAUGACUGAGUGGCGGACGGGUGAGUAACGCGUGGGUAACCUGCCCCAUAGAGGGGGACAACAGCUGGAAACGGCUGCUAAUACCGCAUAGCAGGAAAGAGACGCAUGUCUUUUUCUUCAAAGAUUUAUCGCUAUGGGAUGGACCCGCGUCUGAUUAGCUAGUAGGUAAGGUAACGGCCUACCAAGGCGACGAUCAGUAGCCGGCUUGAGAGAGUGGACGGCCACAUUGGGACUGAGACACGGCCCAGACUCCUACGGGAGGCAGCAGUGGGGAAUAUUGCACAAUGGGGGAAACCCUGAUGCAGCGACGCCGCGUGAGUGAAGAAGUAUUUCGGUAUGUAAAGCUCUAUCAGCAGGGAAGAUAAUGACGGUACCUGACUAAGAAGCCCCGGCUAACUACGUGCCAGCAGCCGCGGUAUACGUAGGGGGCAAGCGUUAUCCGGAUUUACUGGGUGUAAAGGGUGCGUAGGUGGCAGGGCAAGUCAGAUGUGAAAGCCCGGGGCUCAACCCCGGUACUGCAUUUGAAACUGUCCAGCUGGAGUGCAGGAGAGGUAAGCGGAAUUCCUAGUGUAGCGGUGAAAUGCGUAGAUAUUAGGAGGAACACCAGUGGCGAAGGCGGCCGCCUGGCCUGUUGCUGACGCUGAGGCACGAAAGCGUGGGGAGCAAAUAGGAUUAGAUACCCUAGUAGUCCACGCCGUAAACGAUAAGGACCAAGUAUUGGGGGUGAAACUUCAGUGUUGAAAUUAACGCAGUGAGUCCUCCGCCUGGGGAGUAUGCAAGCAAGUGUGAAACUCAAAGGAAUUGACGGGGGCCCGCACAAGCGGUGGAGUAUGUGGUUUAAUUGGAAGCAACGCGAAGAACCUUACCAGGCCUUGACAUGGGAUGCGAAGAUGCAGAGAUGCAUCGGAGGUCAACAUCCACACAGGUGGUGCAUGGUUGUCGUCAGCUCGUGUCGUGAGAUGUUGGGUCAAGUCCCGCAACGAGCGCAACCCUUGUGGCAUGUUGCUAACAGGAAAAGCUGAGGACUCAUGCCAGACUGCCGGUGACAAACCGGAGGAAGGCGGGGAUGACGUCAAAUCAUCAUGCCCCUUAUGGCCUGGGCUACACACGUACUACAAUGGCGGCUACAAAGAGCAGCGAGACAGGGAUGUCGAGCGAAUCUCAUAAAAGCCGUCCCAGUUCGGAUUGGAGGCUGCAACCCGCCUCCAUGAAGUUGGAAUCGCUAGUAAUCGCGGAUCAGCAUGCCGCGGUGAAUACGUUAGCGCGGGCCUUGCACACACCGCCCGUCA